CCUACGGCGUGCUGCAGUAGGGAAUCUUCCACAAUGGGCGAAAGCCUGAUGGAGCAACGCCGCGUGGGUGAAGAAGGUCUUCGGAUCGUAAAACCCUGUUGUUAGAGAAGAAAGUGCGUGAGAGUAACUGUUCACGUUUCGACGGUAUCUAACCAGAAAGCCACGGCUAACUACGUGCCAGCAGCCGCGGUAAUACGUAGGUGGCAAGCGUUAUCCGGAUUUAUUGGGCGUAAAGGGCACGCAGGCGGUCGUUUAAGUCUGAUGUGAACGCCUUCGGCUUAACCGGAGUAGUGCAUUGGAAACUGGGAGACUUGAGUGCAGAAGAGGAGAGUGGAACUCCAUGUGUAGCGGUGAAAUGCGUAGAUAUAUGGAAGAACACCAGUGGCGAAAGCGGCUCUCUGGUCUGUAACUGACGCUGAGGUUCGAAAGCGUGGGUAGCAAACAGGAUUAGAUACCCGAGUAGUC
rnacentral:rRNA from 1 species